AAAAACAACCUUUUCUGUAUCAGGAAGUUAACAUCAGUCGGGGGAAGCUGCGCUCUCUCUGGUUCUGCCUAGCGGGAAGUCUGGUGUAGAAGAAGCAAUCACCAGAAUAAAGGUGUCUGGGGUGGCCUUUGCUCUACACGGGACAGCCCAAGGCUCAGGCAGGAGACUGAGAGCUACAGCACUGACUUUCCUGAUAUUAAAGCACUCAGAGCUGUACUGAGCUGGGCUCCAGUGUCCUUGGGUCUCCAGUUUGCCGAUGAUCUUGCCAUUAUACAACUCUUAGUCCAGAGGCUGGAACCUGAGGACAGAGUGGACUGCCAGAAUCCAUGGAUUGAACCAAGGAUGGGAGACAACACUAACACUGAGUCUCUUAGCUAUGGUGCCAGAAGCUCUGAGAGGCACCAAUCACAAGCCCACUCUUGUGGCUCACUUAGGAGUGGAAGCCCUCCUCCUGUGAAGCCUAAUGAGAGUCUCUCUCUGACCUCUGAGUAUCCAUGUGCUCCCUGGGCAGGAGACAAGCAAGGGGAAGUUCUAUUUCUGCCUCUUCCUAGUUAUAUAGCUCUGAACAAGUCAGAAGAGAGCCAAAGAACUGACCAGAGUCAUCAUCAGCUCUAAUAGGGCUGCUCCAUGCAGGCACUGGCACAGGAACUCAGUUACUUCAACUGUGGGCAUUAUUUAUCCCGUCUGCUCCAAUCCCAGGAGCAAUGCUCCAAAUGAUCUCAGGGACUAUCCUGAAUGCAUCUAGGGAUAAGCGUGUUUGGGAAAUUGGACCUCUCUACAGCUCUGCCCCGGCUCAGGCCAGAUCCUAAGUAGUGGGGGUGGCCAUGCAGGUGGACUGGGGGCUGCUGUGGGCUAGCAUCUAACUAAGAAGAGGCCUGUGGAGGUGGGAAGCUGGCUCCAUGUCUCCCAAGUGGGAGCUUGCCUGGAUCUCAGACAGUCCUGCCUUUCUGGUUUGGGCUUCCCGGCUUUUGCUGCUGUCCUCCGGGGCAAGCUAUUUUAGGUAGCAGUCAAAAUAAAACUGAGAUUAACCCAGAA
rnacentral:lncRNA from 1 species